rnacentral:rRNA from 3 species
UUCCGUAGGUGAACCUGCGGAGGGAUCAUUAC